rnacentral:lncRNA from 1 species
AGGGGUGCAUCUUCCCCGCAGCCUCUUCCUCUGUCUCUCUGCCUCCCGGCCGCCUUGAGCUGAGCAGCUGGCCUGUGCGGGCCCUCCCCCAGGAGGUGCUGCCUCACCUGGGCCCAGAGUCGGCCGCCUAUGGACUGAGGCCUCUGAAACAUGAGCCCCAGGUAAACUUCUCCUCCUUAAGUUGUUCUUGUUGGGUAUUUUGGUCACAGUGGCACAAAAGCUCACUAAAACAGGGUUGAAACAUUACAUGGCACUCCAUAAAUAUGUAUAAUAUUUAUAUUUUUUUAGUAUCUUUUAAAAAAUAAAUUUAACCUAAGUAACUCAGCAAGACCCUGUCUCUAAAUAAAAUACAAAAAAGGGGGGCUGGAGAUGUGGCUCAAGUGGUAGUGCGUUGGUACCAAAAUAAAUAAAUAAAUUGAUUAAUUAACUAAAUUUAGCCAGACAGAGUGGCAUACACCUGAAAUCCCACAACUUGAGUGGCUGAGGCAGGAGGAUUGAAAGUUUGAGGCCAACCUCGAUAACUCAGCAAGGCUGUUAGCAACUUAGCAAAACCUUGUCUCAAAAUGAAAAACAGAAAGGGCUGGGGAUGUGGCUCAGUGGUUAAGCACCUUGGUUUAAUCCCUGGUGCUAC